GCGCGGGUGGAGAAACAGUAUACUCGCCAGCUUGAGGUGUUGGUGCCCGUUAAGGGCGUGGAGGUGCAAAUCCUCUCCCGCGCACAA
rnacentral:tRNA from 1 species